GCUUAAGGCCAUUCCAGCAGAAGAACGCCCAGUCUCAUCUGAUCUCAGAAGCUAAGAAAGCUUUGGCCUGGUUAGUACUUGGAUGGGAGACUGACUGGGAAUACCAGGUGCUGUAAGCU
ensembl:rRNA 5S_rRNA 5S ribosomal RNA